rnacentral:rRNA from 1 species
UACGUAGGGCGCAAGCGUUGUCCGGAAUUAUUGGGCGUAAAGAGCUCGUAGGCGGUUUGUCGCGUCUGCUGUGAAAACCUAAGGCUCAACCUUGGGCUUGCAGUGGGUACGGGCAGACUAGAGUGCGGUAGGGGUGACUGGAAUUCCUGGUGUAGCGGUGGAAUGCGCAGAUAUCAGGAAGAACACCCGUGGCGAAAGCGGCUCUCUGGAACGGUACUGACGCUGAGACGCGAAAGCGUGGGGAGCGAACAGG